AAGCCUGAUGCAGCGACGCCGCGUGAGGGAUGACGGCCUUCGGGUUGUAAACCUCUUUCAGUAGGGAAGAAGCGAAAGUGACGGUACCUGCAGAAGAAGCGCCGGCUAACUACGUGCCAGCAGCCGCGGUAAUACGUAGGGCGCAAGCGUUAUCCGGAAUUAUUGGGCGUAAAGAGCUCGUAGGCGGUUUGUCGCGUCUGCCGUGAAAGUCCGGGGCUCAACUCCGGAUCUGCGGUGGGUACGGGCAGACUAGAGUGAUGUAGGGGAGACUGGAAUUCCUGGUGUAGCGGUGAAAUGCGCAGAUAUCAGGAGGAACACCGAUGGCGAAGGCAGGUCUCUGGGCAUUAACUGACGCUGAGGAGCGAAAGCAUGGGGAGCGAACAGGAUUAGAUACCCUGGUAGUCCAUGCCGUAAACGUUGGGCACUAGGUGUGGGGGACAUUCCACGUUUUCCGCGCCGUAGCUAACGCAUUAAGUGCCCCGCCUGGGGAGUACGGCCGCAAGGCUAAAACUCAAAGGAAUUGACGGGGGCCCGCACAAGCGGCGGAGCAUGCGGAUUAAUUCGAUGCAACGCGAAGAACCUUACCAAGGCUUGACAUGAACCGGAAAUACCUGGAAACAGGUGCCCCGCUUGCGGUC
rnacentral:rRNA from 1 species